GCUCUAGUAGCUCAGUUGAUCAGAGCGUCGGCCUUGUAAGCCGAAUGUCGGGAGUUCAAAUCUCCCCUAGCGCACACCCCC
rnacentral:tRNA from 1 species